UGAUAAUUUCAGGUCUGACCUGCCCACUGAUUGAAUUAAAUGGCCGCGGUAUAUUGACCGUGCAAAGGUAGCAUAAUCACUAGUUUUUUAAUUAAAAGCUUGUAUGAAGGGUUUGAUGAGGGAGUGACUGUCUCAAUUUAAAUUUAUUAAAAUUUUAUUUUUAAGUAAAAAAGCUUAAAUUGGUGUAGAAGACGAGAAGACCCUAUAGAGUUUUAUAAGUUGAGUGGUAUUUAAAUACUAGGAAUCCAUUUGUCUAAAUUCUGCUUUGUUUAUUUUGUUGGGGUGAUAGGAAAAUUAAAUUAACUUUUCUUGUUAAAUUUUAUAUUUAUUUGUAUAUUUAUGAUCCUAAAAUGUAGAUUAUAAGAUUAAAUUACCUUAGGGAUAACAGCGUAAUUUUUUUUAGAGUUCUUAUCGAAAAAACAGAUUGCGACCUCGAUGUUGGAUUAAAAUUUAUUAUUGGUGUAGAAGCUAAUUAAUUAGGUCUGUUCGACCUUUAGAAUUUUACAUGAUCUGAGUUUAAACCGGCGUGA
rnacentral:rRNA from 1 species